rnacentral:rRNA from 2 species
AUGAGACGCUGGCGGCGUGCCUAAUACAUGCAAGUCGAACGAGUUCUCGUUGAUGAUCGGUGCUUGCACCGAGAUUCAACAUGGAACGAGUGGCGGACGGGUGAGUAACACGUGGGUAACCUGCCCUUAAGUGGGGGAUAACAUUUGGAAACAGAUGCUAAUACCGCAUAGAUCCAAGAACCGCAUGGUUCUUGGCUGAAAGAUGGCGUAAGCUAUCGCUUUUGGAUGGACCCGCGGCGUAUUAGCUAGUUGGUGAGGUAAUGGCUCACCAAGGCGAUGAUACGUAGCCGAACUGAGAGGUUGAUCGGCCACAUUGGGACUGAGACACGGCCCAAACUCCUACGGGAGGCAGCAGUAGGGAAUCUUCCACAAUGGACGCAAGUCUGAUGGAGCAACGCCGCGUGAGUGAAGAAGGCUUUCGGGUCGUAAAACUCUGUUGUUGGAGAAGAAUGGUCGGCAGAGUAACUGUUGUCGGCGUGACGGUAUCCAACCAGAAAGCCACGGCUAACUACGUGCCAGCAGCCGCGGUAAUACGUAGGUGGCAAGCGUUAUCCGGAUUUAUUGGGCGUAAAGCGAGCGCAGGCGGUUUUUUAAGUCUGAUGUGAAAGCCCUCGGCUUAACCGAGGAAGCGCAUCGGAAACUGGGAAACUUGAGUGCAGAAGAGGACAGUGGAACUCCAUGUGUAGCGGUGAAAUGCGUAGAUAUAUGGAAGAACACCAGUGGCGAAGGCGGCUGUCUGGUCUGUAACUGACGCUGAGGCUCGAAAGCAUGGGUAGCGAACAGGAUUAGAUACCCUGGUAGUCCAUGCCGUAAACGAUGAAUGCUAGGUGUUGGAGGGUUUCCGCCCUUCAGUGCCGCAGCUAACGCAUUAAGCAUUCCGCCUGGGGAGUACGACCGCAAGGUUGAAACUCAAAGGAAUUGACGGGGGCCCGCACAAGCGGUGGAGCAUGUGGUUUAAUUCGAAGCAACGCGAAGAACCUUACCAGGUCUUGACAUCUUUUGAUCACCUGAGAGAUCAGGUUUCCCCUUCGGGGGCAAAAUGACAGGUGGUGCAUGGUUGUCGUCAGCUCGUGUCGUGAGAUGUUGGGUUAAGUCCCGCAACGAGCGCAACCCUUAUGACUAGUUGCCAGCAUUUAGUUGGGCACUCUAGUAAGACUGCCGGUGACAAACCGGAGGAAGGUGGGGAUGACGUCAAAUCAUCAUGCCCCUUAUGACCUGGGCUACACACGUGCUACAAUGGAUGGUACAACGAGUUGCGAGACCGCGAGGUCAAGCUAAUCUCUUAAAGCCAUUCUCAGUUCGGACUGUAGGCUGCAACUCGCCUACACGAAGUCGGAAUCGCUAGUAAUCGCGGAUCAGCACGCCGCGGUGAAUACGUUCCCGGGCCUUGUACACACCGCCCGUCACACCAUGAGAGUUUGUAACACCCGAAGCCGGUGGCGUAACCCUUUUAGGGAGCGAGCCGUCUAAGGUGGGACAAAUG